rnacentral:rRNA from 1 species
UACGUAGGGUGCAAGCGUUGUCCGGAAUUAUUGGGCGUAAAGAGCUUGUAGGCGGUUUGUCGCGUCUGCUGUGAAAUUUCGGGGCUCAACCCCGAACUUGCAGUGGGUACGGGCAGACUAGAGUGUGGUAGGGGGAGACUGGAAUUCCUGGUGUAGCGGUGAAAUGCGCAGAUAUCAGGAGGAACACCUAUAGCGAAGGCAGCUUGCUGGGACGUUACUGAGCUAAGGCGCGAAAGCGUGGGGAGCGAACAGG